rnacentral:rRNA from 1 species
UACGUAGGGCGCAAGCGUUAUCCGGAAUUAUUGGGCGUAAAGAGCUCGUAGGCGGUUUGUCGCGUCGGCCGUGAAAUCUCCACGCUUAACGUGGAGCGUGCGGUCGAUACGGGCAGACUUGAGUUCGGUAGGGGAGACUGGAAUUCCUGGUGUAGCGGUGAAAUGCGCAGAUAUUGGGAGGAACACCAGUGGCGAAGGCGGCUCACUGGACCGGUACUGACGCUGAGGCGCGAAAGCGUGGGGAGCAACGGGG